AUCAAUGGGGUGGUCGCCAGUCUCCGUUGGAGGAGGCGGCCUGAGAAAACACCCAUAUUACCUGAUCCGGAUAAUACCGGCGGAGGGAACG
rnacentral:misc_RNA from 1 species